GCGUUAAUAGAAUAAAGGUAGAAUAUUUGCCUUCCAAGCAAAUGGCCCGGGUUCGAUUACCGGUUAACGCA
rnacentral:tRNA from 1 species